CCUACGGGAGACAGCAGUGAGGAAUAUUGGUCAAUGGGCGCGAGCCUGAACCAGCCAAGUAGCGUGAAGGAUGACUGCCCUACGGGUUGUAAACUUCUUUUAUAAAGGAAUAAAGUGAGCCACGUGUGCCUUUUUGUAUGUACUUUAUGAAUAAGGAUCGGCUAACUCCGUGCCAGCAGCCGCGGUAAUACGGAGGAUCCGAGCGUUAUCCGGCUUUAUUGGGUUUAAAGGGUGCGUAGAUGGGUUGUUAAGUCAGUUGUGAAAGUGUGCGGCUCAACCGUAAAAUUGCAAUUGAUACUGGCAGUCUUGAGUACAGUCGAGGUAGGCGGAAUUCGUGGUGUAGCGGUGAAAUGCUUAGAUAUCACGAAGAACUCCGAUUGCGAAGGCAGCUUACUAAACUGCCACUGACAUUGAUGCUCGAAAGUGUGGGUAGCAAACAGGAUUAGAUACCCCAGUAGUC
rnacentral:rRNA from 1 species